GCCCCUAUAACUCAAUUGGCAGAGUAGCGGACUCUUAAUCCGUAAAUCCAGGUUCAAGUCCUGGUGGGGGCACCA
rnacentral:tRNA from 1 species